ensembl:snRNA LOC120095712 U6 spliceosomal RNA
UCUCCUUGGCAGCAGGUCAAUUUAACAUUGGAAGGAUACAGAGGUUACCAUGGCCCUUGCUCAAUGAUGACAUGCAAAUUCAUGAAACAUUCCAUAUUUAA